rnacentral:rRNA from 1 species
GCACAAGCAGCGGAGCGUGUGGUUUAAUUCGUUGCUACACGAAGAACCUUACCUGGGUUUGACAUAUAGGUUGUAGGGAACUGAAAAGGGACCGACCCUUCGGGGAGCCUAUACAGGUGUUGCAUGGCUGUCGUCAGCUCGUGUCGUGAGAUGUUCGGUUAAGUCCGCUAACGAGCGCAACCCUCGUCGUAUGUUAUAUGUGUCAUACGAGACUGCCGGUAAAAGCCGGAGGAAGGUGAGGAUGAUGUCAAGUCAGCAUGACCUUUAUAUCCAGGGCUACACACACGCUACAAUGGUCUGUACAGUGGGUAGCCAAGCCGCGAGGCGGAGCCAAUCCUGAAAGCAGGCCUCAGUUCAGAUUGCAGUCUGCAACUCGACUGCAUGAAGCCGGAGUUGCUAGUAACCGCAGGUCAGCAAUACUGCGGUGAAUACGUUCCCGGGUCUU